rnacentral:rRNA from 1 species
CCGCGGUAUUUUGACCGUGCUAAGGUAGCAUAAUCAUUAGUUUUUUAAUUGAAAGCUGGAAUGAAGGGCUGAAUGAAAAAAAAACUGUCUCUAAUUAAUUAUUUUAGAAUUUUAUUUUUAAGUAAAAAAGCUUAAAUUUUAUUAAAAGACGAGAAGACCCUAUAGAGUUUAAUAAUUUUAUAAUAUAAAAAAUUUGGAAUUAAUUUUUUUAUUUUUAUAUAAUUAUUUGAUUGGGGUGAUUAAAAAAUUUAAUAAACUUUUUUAUUUAUUUAUAUUAAUUAAUAAAUAGUUGAUCCAAAAAUUUUGAUUAUAAGAUAAAAUUACCUUAGGGAUAACAGCGUAAUUUUAUUUGAGAGUU